rnacentral:tRNA from 1 species
GAGGGUGUAGCUCAGUGGUAGAGUGCAUGCCUAGCAGGCAUGAUAUCCUGAGUUCAAUCCCCAGUACCUCCA